UCCGUAGGUGAACCUGCGGAAGGAUCAUUAGUGAAUUAAACAUGCUUGGUGUCUUCGCUUCGGCAAGGCCCUUGCUUAAAUCACAUCCUAACACCUGUGAACUGUAAGACGUAUGAUGAGGUCUUUGGGCCAAGUCAUCGUCUGCCCAUUUUUAACAAACAAUUAAUGUAACAAACGUAGUCUUAUUAUAACCUAAUAAAACUUUCAACAACGGAUCUCUUGGCUCUCGCAUCGAUGAAGAACGCAGCGAAAUGCGAUAAGUAAUGUGAAUUGCAGAAUUCAGUGAAUCAUCGAAUCUUUGAACGCACCUUGCGCUCUUUGGUAUUCCGAAGAGCAUGCCUGUUUGAGUGUCAUGAAAAUAUCAACCUUGACUUGGGUUUUGUGCUCUAGUCUUGGCUUGGAAUUGGGUGCUUGCCGCUUUUACGACCGGCUCACCUUAAAUGUAUUAGCUGGAUCUGUCUUUGAGACUUGGUUUGACUUGGCGUAAUAAGUAUUUCGCUAAGGACAUUCUUCGGAGUGGCCUCGUUUCUAGGACGCUUGUCCGCUUUCCAAUACAAGUUCCACCUCGUGACAUGACUUUUUAUUAUCUGGCCUCAAAUCAGGUAGGACUACCCGCUGAACUUAAGCAUAUCAAUAAGCGGAGGA
rnacentral:rRNA from 1 species